GGGGAUGUAGCUCAGUUGGUAGAGUGCUUGCCUUGCAUGCACAAGGCCCUGGGCUCAAUCCCCAGCACCACA
rnacentral:tRNA from 1 species